AGAGUUUGAUCCUGGCUCAGAACGAACGCUGGCGGCGUGGCUAAGACAUGCAAGUCGCACGGAAUUUUAUUUUGAGUAAUUGAGAUGAAAUUUAGUGGCGAAAGGGUGAGUAAUGCAUAGGUAACGUACCCCGGACAGCGGGAUAGCGGCGGUCUUCGGAUCUUUAGCGAAAGUGCCGGUAAUACCGUAUGAUGUCCUGAUAUCGCAUGAUAUUUGGACCAAAGGUUUCGGCUGGUCUGGAAGCGGCCUAUGUCGUAUCAGCUUGUUGGUGAGGUAACGGCUCACCAAGGCAUCGACGCGUAGCGGGAUCGAGAGGUUGAUCCGCCACAUCGGGACUGAGACACUGCCCGGACCCCCACGGGGGGCUGCAGUAACGAAUAUUGCGCAAUGGACGAAAGUCUGACGCAGCGACGCCGCGUGCAGGAUGAAGCCCCUCGGGGUGUAAACUGCUGUCAGGGCUAAGAAAUGUGCGCUUCGCGUAUUUGAUCUAGCCCAAAGGAAGGACCGGCUAAAUUCGUGCCAGCAGCCGCGGUAAUACGAAUGGUCCAAGCGUUGUUCGGAAUCAUUGGGCUUAAAGAGCACGUAGGCGGGAAUUUAAGUGUCCUGUGAAAUCCCUCGGCUUAACCGAGGAACUGCGGGACAUACUGGAUUCCUUGAGGCAAGUAGGGGUGUGUGGAACUCCAGGUGGAGCGGUGAAAUGCGUAGAUAUCUGGAGGAACGCCAGCAGAGAAGUCGGCACACCGGGCUUGUUCUGACGCUGAGGUGCGAAAGCGUGGGGAGCGAAGAGGAUUAGAUACCCUCGUAGUCCACGCCGUAAACCAUGUCUACUAGGUUGUGGAAGUUCUGACACUAUCGCAGCCGGAGCAAAAGUAUUAAGUAGACCGCCUGGGGAGUACGGUCGCAAGGCUAAAACUCAAAGGAAUUGACGGGGGCUCACACAAGCGGUGGAGCAUGUGGCUUAAUUCGAAGCAACGCGAAGAACCUUAUCCUGGGUUUGACAUGCAUGGAUGCCCAUCCUGAAAGGGAGUAGGCUGCCUUCGGGUGAAACUUGCACAGGUGCUGCAUGGCUGUCGUCAGCUCGUGUCGUGAGAUGUUGGGUUAAGUCCCUUAACGAGCGAAACCCUUAUCGUUAGUUACCAGCGCGUUAUGGCGGGAACUCUAGCGAGACUGCCGGUGUCAAACCGGAGGAAGGUGGGGAUGACGUCAAGUC
rnacentral:rRNA from 1 species